GUCUAAGGCCAUGCCACCCUGAACAAGCCCAGUCUGAUCUCGGAAGCUACGCAGGUUCAGGCCUAGUUAGUACUUGGAUGGGAGACCACCUAGGAAGACCAGGUGCUGUAGGCA
rnacentral:rRNA from 1 species